UUUUGAAGGGAUUUUUUUUAGUGAGUGAUUUAUAUGUUGUGCUGUUCUUUUAUUCAUCAAAUAACUUAAAAAUGACUUGAAACACUUAUGUGUGCUUUUAUAAACUAUUAUUGAGAAUUAACAAGCAUACAUAUAUACAUAAAAUAUUAUAAUAUUGACGUACAUGUACACCACAGAAACUGGUUUUUUGUCCCUUCAAGCAUCAUUAAUAUUGUAAAAUACAAAUUUACAUCUAAAAAGAAUUCUUCAAAUUAGCAAUUUAUUACAUCACAAAUGGG
rnacentral:lncRNA from 1 species